UACAGAGGGGGCAAGCGUUGUUCGGAAUUACUGGGCGUAAAGGGCGCGUAGGCGGCGCAACAAGUCACUUGUGAAAUCUCCGGGCUUAACCCGGAGCGGCCAAGUGAUACUGUCGUGCUAGAGUGCGGAAGGGGCUACUGGAAUUCUCGGUGUAGCGGUGAAAUGCGUAGAUAUCGAGAGGAACACCUGCGGCGAAGGCGGGUCUCUGGGCCGAUACUGACGCUGAGGAGCGAAAGCGUGGGGAGCGAACAGG
rnacentral:rRNA from 1 species